ensembl:lncRNA
CCUGCUCCCCCACCUCACUACCGCCACCAGCACCACCAGCACCACCAGCACCACGCUCUGACCCCCGGCCUGUUCGCUCAUUCAUUUGAGCUGCCGCUUUUGGUUUCUGAUGAUCUGAGGAGAGACCUUGCACAGAUCGCCAUGUGGGGAUCAACGCCUCGGCCCCCCCGCAGCCAGACGCCAAUGCCCUGUGUCCGUGCUGCUCGUCAUGCUUUAUUUAUACCCUGCGGCCGGUUGAUGGGGGGCUGAAUCAUCCAUCACAAAGUGUUUACUUUGAUUCCAGAAGAGUAAUAAAAAUGGGCCGGCAUGUUCAAGUACACGGCGGUUAUGUACUUGUGAGUAUUAGUACAAGCUCAUGAGGCACCGAUGCUGCUCAUACCUGAAGGUGGCCUCUCGUGGCUCCACGUCUACGGCAAAACAGUGCGACUUCAAUCUAAAGAUCAGUUUCAAAUGACACUUUACACAUUUAUUACAGUCAUGGACACAAGUCCAUCUGCCAACAUGGCUUAUUGAUGAUCAGCAGGGAUCUAUAUGUAAAAGUUAUAUUUGCUUAAUUUGUUAAUCUGUUUUUGGACCCGUCGCACCUCUACUCUCCAUACUAAGACAAACUGGCCGCAUCAGCUUUCCGUUCAGUAGCUUAUGAAAACAAUAAAAACAAGCUCUUUAGGGGACAUUCACCGCCGGUGAGGAGCUGCAGAUAACGUUACAGCAGGUUCAGCGGCUGGUCGUCUGCAACGUUUCUUCCUGAAUACUAAGCCGUCAGUCACUGAGACACCGGCGACCAAAGUCACCCUCUACCCGUUCAGCCUGGACCCUCGUCUCCAGGGCAACAUGGGAUGUGGAUCAUUCGGCAAGAGAGAAGGUUGCUACUCGUCAUGACGGCAGUCGCAAUCUCGAAUUUUUUUUAACCGAUGAAUCAAAAUGACCAUAUCUGGACAGAGGAAGACAUGUCAAUCACAGUAAGCCCCACCCUAAAGCAUCCGCUGCUUUAUGUUCGGUUUGAAGAAGACUUGAAGAAACUACUAAUAUUUUUACAGAGGGAAUAAAUCAAGAGAGUAGUCAUUUUCUCAUAGACUCCUAUGGCACCAGAGUCGUCGCCCCCUGGUGGUUGGUAGAGAAAAUGCUGCUUAAAGAACUUGAAGGUUGUGCUCCCGUAAAAAUCAAUCAACAAAAUGGAUUGUUCACAUUGUGUUUCAUCAGUUGUUAUCUGCAGAAAGUCUAUAGUUUGUCCAACUGAUUUUAGAUCAAUUUGGAUGAAACAACUGUGUCUGCCUGUACGCGUGAAUACAAAGACAGCCCUCAAAUAAUCACUGACUACUUUGUUCUGACUUUUUGGUUUUAACGACUUUGUUUGGAUGCAGAAAUUCUGUCUGAAAACUUUUAUGGGGAAGUGGAAGGAGCGGGCGCACACACACACACACACACACACACACACACACACACACACACACACACACACACACACACACACACACACACCGGGCUUCUGGGAGCCUUGUGGAUCAGCGGGAAAAAACAAGCUAAAUGUGCUAAUUAUAGCUCCCUUUAAAAGCCACAGAUAUUCACUCUACAGACUGAUGGUGAUAGAAGACCCGACUGAAGGCAUCUGUGGGGUUAUAUAAGUCAGACUUUAAUGAGGACAAUGCACAGAGGUCCAAUAGUCAUCCUGCUAUUGAGAUUUAUCUGCCUUCUUAUGCAUAAAUAAAUCAAACCUUCAAGGCUGAUUCAUUCAUCACCAUGAAUGCUUUUACACACACUAAGAAUAUGACGCAGUAUUUUGGGGAAAUAAGUUUGUUGUUGUUUAAUUUUUUCACAAUGUAUUCAGAAAAGGCAGUACAGACCUCAUAGAUUCACUCCUGUUGGUCAAUUUCACAAAAGCUCUAGUUGUAGAAUCCUGAUCAGUGUGAAUUGUUUUGGUAAAGUGCGGCAACUUUGCUUAAUUUUCUUCAUUUCUUCAUUAGAUAGUAAGCUGUCGGUUUAUUUGUAUUUUACUAGAGUGAAAUUCUGUCAGUCUAUAAUGACAAUCCACAGCUUUAAUUCCCCCCUCACUGAGAGCAAGCAGGCAACAAAGUGACUUGCAGGAAUGCAAAUGUGCCGUCUCAUGGCCGCCGGUGAGACGCAGCAUGCACCGUAAUUAAGCUCACAGCGGGGGGGGCUGUUGUGACUGUGUGCUCUUGGAUCGCGGAGGAAUAGGGGAAAAUAGCGCUAGACAAACUAGCAAAUUGCACACCUCCCCGAGUGCCAGAGUCAACAGAGCAGCACCCGCUUCAUGUCUGUGUGUGUUCAGCUUGCCGAUGCGGCCUCAAUUAGCUGGAGGUGUGACCCCGCGCACGGGGGGACGUAGAGCGCCUGAGAGCAGCUGCGUGUUCCCCCCAGAACGACACCGUCCCCGAGCCCUCAGGCGUCUGCAUGGAGGCUGCUUGGAUCCUCAACAUCUCAGGAAGGGUAACAGACACGGCACAAAGGACUCAUGGAGUCCUAGCCUCCACUAGUGGAGUCCUGGCCCCCACAGAAAAGGACUCAUGGAGACCUAGCCUCCACUAAAAGGACUCAUGGAGUCCUAGCCUCCACUAGUGGAGUCCUAGCCCCCACAGAAAGGACUCAUGGAGUCCUAGCCUCCACUAGUGGAGUCCUAGCCCCCACAGAAAGGACUCAUGGAGUCCUAGCCCCCACAGAAAGGACUCAUGGAGUCCUAGCCCCCACAGAAAGGACUCAUGGAGACCUAGCCCCCACAAAAAGGACUCAUGGAGUCCUAGCACCCACA